UACGUAGGGCGCAAGCGUUGUCCGGAAUUAUUGGGCGUAAAGAGCUCGUAGGUGGUGUGUCGCGUCUGCCGUGAAAGCCCGGGCUUAACUCCGGGUCUGCGGUGGAUACGGGCAGACUAGAGGCAGGUAGGGGAGAACGGAAUUCCCGGUGUAGCGGUGAAAUGCGCAGAUAUCAGGAGGAACACCGGUGGCGAAGGCGGGUCUCUGGACCGAUACUGACGCUGAGGAGCGAAAGCGUGGGGAGCGAACAGG
rnacentral:rRNA from 1 species